CACGUAGUUAGCCGUGGCUUGUUCUUGAGGUACCGUCAUUAUUCGUCCCUCAUCAAAGAAGUUUACGAUCCGAAAACCUUCAUCCUUCACGCGGCGUUGCUGCAUCGGGGUUUCCCCCAUUGUGCAAUAUUCCCCACUGCUGCCUCCCGUAGGAGUCUGGGCCGUGUCUCAGUCCCAAUGUGGCCGAUCAACCUCUCAGCUCGGCUACCAAUCGUCGCCUUGGUGGUCCGUUACACCACCAACUAGCUAAUUGGACGCGGGUCCAUCUUAUACCGGAUUGCUCCUUUGAUCAUCAUAUGAUGCCAUACAAUGAUAUUAUGCGGUAUUAGCACAAGUUUCCCUGUGUUAUCCCCCUGUAUAAGGCAGGUUACCCACGCGUUACUCACCCGUCCGCCGCUAAGAUAUAUAUCCGAUAAAUCUUCAAUAUAUCUCCGCUCGACUUGCAUGUGUUAGGCACGCCGCCAGCGUCGUCCUCGUGCCACGAGUCAACGUAC
rnacentral:rRNA from 1 species